CCAACCAAUAAUUGAUUUCCCUUUGUUUGCCCCAAGCAGAUAUCUACCCAUAAAGCCUCCACCUUUUCCUCGUCACACUCCACAUGCCUAAGAUUUGACUUUAACUCAUGGUUGACAUAUAAACAUACCCCACCACCCUUCUUGUUUUUCCUAUCCUUCCUAAAUAACGUGUACCCAUUUAAAUUAACUGCCCAGUUAUGU